rnacentral:rRNA from 1 species
CCCUUAGAUGCUCUGGGCCGCACGCGCGCUACACUGAUUCAUGCAACAAGUUUUGUCCUUGGCUGAUAGGCCUGGGUAAUCUUUGAACGUGAAUCGUGAUGGGGAUAGAUGAUUGCAAUUAUUCAUCUUCAACGAGGAAUUCCUAGUAAACGCAAGUCAUCAGCUUGCAUUGAUUACGUCCCUGCCCUUUGUACACACCGCCCGUCGCACCUACCGAUUGAAUGGUCCGGUGAAAUCUUCGGAUCUGAGAGAUGUCUGAUUAAUUUCGGACGCCUUUUGGAAAAGUUGCUUAAACCUUACCAUUUAGAGGAAGGUGAAGUCGUAACA